CAGCCGUUGCACCGUUAAGCCGGGCCGGUGACGCCGGGCCUUUACGUCGCGCCUGUGAGCGGCCGAGGCCGAGCGGCCGCCCCUCGGGCUGCGAGACGUAAGCGGCGACCCCUCUCGGGCCUGGGCUCUUCCCUCGCGGCCCGGCCGGCCGGCGGCCUGGACCUGCGGCGGCGAGCGCCGGUCGCGGCGACGUCUGUGUGCGUGCUUGGAGACAUUACCUCAUCCCUCAAGAUUGCUCGCUGCAAACACAACGCUGAGAAAUGGCCCAAGUAAAGCGUGAUCAGGGUCUUGCAUUCUUGGCACAUCUAGGAAGAACGUGCAAGGAUGCGAAUUGUGAAUCGCUUCUCCAAACAAUCCAUUAUUUGGGCAGGAUUCUGUAGGGAAAACUCAUCACCACUUCAUAUAGCAUCAGCCAUGCGGCUCAACUGAGGGCUGUUGGAUCCACUUCUAAGAUGACUCACUGCUGGCUGGCUGUUAAUGCUGGGUUGAGGCCCUGGGGCCUUGGUUUGUCUCCACAUUGGCCUCUCCGUUAGGCCUGGACUUCCUCACAAAAUGGUGGACGAGUUCUAAGGGUAAACAUCGCAAGAGAGAAAACCAGACAAGAGAGCAAAACUUGCCUUUUGUGACCUAGCCUCAGAAAUCGCAUAGUGUCUAUUAAUUGAAGCAGUCCCAAAGUCCCACCUGGGUUCAAGGGGAGGAGAUACUGACUACACUGUCCUUGAUGGGAGGGUGGUAAGAUUCUGGAAGAGAGAUGGGACCAGAAAUGUUGUUGCAGCCAUUUUGGGGAAGUGCAAUCUACCACAACGCAUAUGUAUGUACUCCUAGGC
rnacentral:lncRNA from 1 species